GACGAACGCUGGCGGCGUGCCUAAUACAUGCAAGUCGAGCGCAGGAAGUCAUCCGAACCCUUCGGGGGGACGUUGACGGAAUGAGCGGCGGACGGGUGAGUAACACGUAAAGAACCUGCCCUCAGGUCUGGGAUAACCACGAGAAAUCGGGGCUAAUACCGGAUGGGUCAUCGGACCGCAUGGUUCGAGGAUGAAAGGCGCUUCGGCGUCGCCUGGGGAUGGCUUUGCGGUGCAUUAGCUAGUUGGUGGGGUAAUGGCCCACCAAGGCGACGAUGCAUAGCCGACCUGAGAGGGUGAUCGGCCACACUGGGACUGAGACACGGCCCAGACUCCUACGGGAGGCAGCAGUAGGGAAUCUUCCACAAUGGACGAAAGUCUGAUGGAGCAACGCCGCGUGAACGAUGAAGGCCCUCGGGUCGUAAAGUUCUGUUGUAAGGGAAGAACAAGUGCCGCAGGCAAUGGCGGCA
rnacentral:rRNA from 1 species